rnacentral:rRNA from 1 species
AUUGAACGCUGGCGGCAGGCCUAACACAUGCAAGUCGAACGAGUGGCGGACGGGUGAGUAAUGUCUGGGAAACUGCCUGAUGGCGGGGGAUAACUACUGGAAACGGUAGCUAAUACCGCAUACCAUCGGCAAUGCCCAUAUGGGAUGAGCUAGGAGGUGGGGUAAAGGCUCACCUAGGCGACGACCCGUAGCUGGUCUGAGAGGAUGACCAGCCACACUGGAACUGAGACACGUGCCAGACUCCUACGGGAGGCAGCAGUGGGGAAUAGUGCACAAUGGGCGCAAGCCUGAUGCAGCCAUGCCGCGUGUAUGAAGAAGGCCGUCGGGUUGUAAAGUACUUUCAGCAGGGAGGCGUUACCCGCAGAAGAAGCACCGGCUAACUCCGUGCCAGCAGCCGCGGUAAUAC